rnacentral:rRNA from 1 species
UACGAAGGGGGCUAGCGUUGCUCGGAAUUACUGGGCGUAAAGCGCACGUAGGCGGCUCUUUAAGUCGGAGGUGAAAUCCUGGAGCUCAACUCCAGAACUGCCUUCGAUACUGUAGAGCUUGAGUUCGGGAGAGGUGAGUGGAACUGCGAGUGUAGAGGUGAAAUUCGUAGAUAUCGGGAGGAACACCAGUGGCGAAGGCGGCGAUCUGGGUAGAUACUGACGCUGAGGUGCGAAAGCGUGGGGAGCAAACAGG